AUUUGACACGCCCCCACGGUGGCCAGUCUGGCUCCAAGUUUUGGGCGUGGUGCGAUGAC
rnacentral:ncRNA from 1 species